rnacentral:rRNA from 1 species
UACGAAGGACCCGAGCGUUAUCCGGAUUUAUUGGGUUUAAAGGGUGCGUAGGCGGACUUACAAGUCAGUGGUGAAAUCUCCCCGCUCAACGGGAACUGCCAUUGAAACUAUUGUCUUGAGUACAUUUGAGGCGGGCGGAAUGUGUCAUGUAGAGGUGAAAUUCUUAGAUAUGACACAGAACACCAAUUGCGAAGGCAGCUCGCUAAACUGUAACUGACGCUGAGGCACGAAAGCGUGGGUAGCAAACAGG